rnacentral:rRNA from 1 species
GGUAUCGAUCCCUUCUGUGUCCGUAGCUAUCGCGUUAAGUACCCCGCCUGGGGAGUACGUCCGCAAGGCUCGAACUCAAAGGAAUAGACGGGGGCCCGCACAAUCGCUGGAGCAUGUGGUUUAAUACGACGCAACGCGUAGAACCUUACCAGGGCUUGACAUGCUGGUGGUACUGGCUCCGAAAGGAGACAGGACCCUUCGGGGAGCCAACACAGAUGUUGCACGGCUGUCGUCAGCUCGUGUCGUGAGAUGUUGGGUUAAGUCCCGCAACGAGCGCAACCCUUGUCCUUAGUUGCCAGCAGGUAAUGCUGGGGACUCUAAGGAGACUGCCUGUGAUAAGCAGGAGGCACGCUGAGGACGACGUCAAGUCAUUGUGGCUCUUACGCCCUGGGCUACACACGUGCUACAAUGGUCGAUACAAUGGGUAGCAAUACCGCGAGGUGGAGCCAAUCCCCAAAAGUCGGCCUCAGUUCGGAUUGGAGUCUGCAACUCGACUCCAUGAAGUCAGGAAUCGCUAGUAAUGGCGCAUCAGCUCCCGCUCCGUGAAUACGCUCCCUGGCAUUGUACUCACCGCCCGUCACAUCACCUGAGUUGAUUGCACCUGAAGUCACUGA